rnacentral:piRNA from 1 species
UCCCAGCCAGGUCCUAAAGCCUUUUCUAGA